CACACUUCUUACCAAUGCCUGCUUUUUGUUGAAGCCUAUUUACCCAUGAAAACAAGGCUUCUAGUUAUAAAAGUUGUUUUUGCCCGGCCUCAGCAGGUCACCUUGAUGUCAUGUGGAAACUCCUGUCCACCUAGCCAGGCAGGGUGGAGGGAGGUCAGACGGGGGCGAUGCAAGUUUGCACUUUGGCUCUGACAUUUACAGAGUGACUCAUGUUGAUGCGGGACUUUCCCAUGGAGAGAAAUUCCGAGGGAAAAGUACUGAGUGCUUUGCCCUCAUUUCUGUGCAGGACACAGGCCCAGGAAGGCAGUUAUUCACCUUACAGCAUGGAGGAGGUCAUCAACAGAGGCCGUUUGGAGCCUUCCAGGGCCUGUUCUCACAGGCAAAUUCCCGACCUUCUUCUCCUCAGAACAAAUCAUGCUUUGGCAAUAGCAUUCAAAGGCCAAGAAGAGCAAAGGUGCUGGGACGAACCCAGGGCCUUGAUAUGCCAGGGAAGCCAUCUAACGCAGCUCCGCACCCCAGCCGGAAUCAUGCAUUUCCGCUUCAAAACCAUGAAGUAGCUCGACCAAAUGCAUUUAAAGCACCGCUGCUCUAGGGGCUCAGAGUCCUUUCGAGGUGCUUUGGGAUCGAACUCGGGACCUCGCCCUUGCGAGGCAGGUGCUGGAACCACUGAGCUAAAUCCCCAGCCCGAAGAUGGAUUAACAUGUAGUCUGGGAACAGCUGUGCGCACACACACUGGGCCGAAACUCUCAAGCUUGAUCUGACUCCACACUGGACGUGCAAAUUCAAGGUCUCCACACAUUUGUUCUGAGCCAGAAAGUGUCUGCUGUCAGGCCCAGGCAGUGCCCCACAUAGGUAAGAUGUGCGGAGCGGCUCGUCUGGCGGCAUCCGGUGGGGGGGCUGAGAAUUCUAGGGUCCCCAUGGCGGAGCCCGAAGGUACAUAUGGACGUCACCUCAGAGCCAGGUGCAGUCGGACCUCCGAAUGAAGGGCUGUGAAGCUGUGAUUCCAUUCUGAGGCAGUGAAACUGUAGUGCUUUGCUUUGCUUUGUGUUUUUUUUUUGGUACCGGGGAUCGAACUCAGGUCCUUACGCUUGCGCAGCAGGCGGCGAAACCACUGAGCCAAAUCCCCAGCCCUGCUUUACAUUGCUUUGUUUUGUUUUGUUUUGAGACAGGGUCUGGCUUUGUAGUCCAGGAGGGUCUGGAGAUCCCGGCAGCCCUCCUACCUCAGCCUCCCAAGUGCAGCGGUUACAGGUGUGCAUCACCAUGCCUUGCCAGUGCUCUUUAAAACCAGCGAUUAGAAAACAAGAAUAGAGGAAAGCACUGGGUGCCCAGCAGAACUGGCUGGAGGUGACACUGCCCACAUGCACCCCACUUGGGGGGGGCCUGGUGUCCCUCUGGUCGCUGGAUCAGGCUCCUGCCAAUCGCAAUCAGCACCCUCUUGCACAGAGGCCGGCACUGGUCCCCACCAGGCUGCCUCCCGCCCUGCGCAGGGGAUCCCAUGUGGGAUGCUGGCGAAGCUCAACAGACCUCCAUUGCUGCUUGACAAAGUUCCAGCUGGAGGAAAGAAAGGGUGGAACACAUCGUACCCUCAUGUUUUAUUUUUUCUAGCCAUAAUGUUUAUAACUGUUACUCUGAUCACAGGAGUCAUUGUGCUUGUGACUAAAAACAAACUCUCCCUGAGGCAAAUUGGUAAUGAUACAUUGAAAUCUGAUCUGGCUCGAAAGUCCCAAAUUCCGGUUACUCUUAGCUCUAUUACCACAUCCACUUCUAAAGAAACUUCUCCUAAAACCCCCUCUGUUUCUCCCACUACUAUGACUCCCCCUCCUAUUUUUGACAUUCUGUCUACUAAAGGGGUCUUACAAAAAGAUUGGAAAGACAGACUUUGGAUGAGAGAGAUAGUGGGAAAUGGGAAAAAGAAAGAACAUUAUGAAGCUUUGAUGGGACCACUUAGUGGUCCCACUGACCCCCCAUUACCCUACACAGGGGCCUACAUAGAUGGAGAAAGGAUAGUAAAUGUAAAUGGAAAAUGGACUCGCUACUGAGAUUUAUCCUUCUUGGACAGAUUAAGACGUGCUACCCCUCGUUGUCUUCCCCCUAGACCGGUAAAUGCAUUAAAGAGACAACUUAAUCAACAUAUCUCAAAGUGCUGUAAAUAUCACCCGCUCAUAGUCUAUGACCCUGAAUGACUUUUAGUUAAGAUGAAAAGAGGUAAAGAAAAAAUAGAGAGCUAAUAGCAAACUAUAUUAACCACUGUGCAGUUUCUCAAGGGCCAGCUGGCGACCACAUGUCUGGCACUUAGCUGAUUAAAUCUUGCUUGAACCCCCGCUGAUAUAAAGAUCUAGAUUAAGUUUUACUUUCUGUUCUAUUUAGAUAUGGGUAAAUAAGGGGACAACUGUAAUUUUCUGGGUAUGUGUUCAUGAGGUUCCAAGAAAUGAAAUAGCUUAGAGGAAAUGUACUUUGUCUAACAAGAAAAUAACCUUUACUUCAAUGGAAAUUGCUAAUACUGCUUAAAAUGUAAACGUGUUCCGCCCAAUGCCCCCCAGCUAUUGUAAGAGAUAUAAAAUAAAUCAGACCCUGAGACUUGCUCAGAGGGAACCUGGACAUUGCUUCUGGAGGUUCUUUCUCAUCGCCGUCCCAGGACAUCUCCCCUUCCUACCCUACAUCGACUGCAGCUGGUCUGUGGCAGGAUGCACCUGCCAGGGGUCCGCAGUGCAGGUGCCCACGCCACUUGCUCGGGGCUCCUCCAUGCUCCAAGGGAUGGACUCUGAGGACCACGAGACACCCGCCUGGGUGCUGACGUCAGGCUCCUCUGGGUGGCUGGUGCUGGGCGGAGCCCUGACCCCAGGGUGUGUUUGCUCUGUGUCGCCCACCCGUGACCCCCUCCCCACAGGGCACUGGCUCAGACACAGCCACCUCCUGCCCGAGGUGCCCCACGUCUGAUGGCAACCGAGUGUGGCAGG